AUUGAACGCUGGCGGCAGGCUUAACACAUGCAAGUCGAGCGGAGAGAGGUAGCUUGCUACUGAUCUUAGCGGCGGACGGGUGAGUAAUACUUAGGAAUCUGGCUAUUAGUGGGGGACAACAUUUCGAAAGGGAUGCUAAUACCGCAUACGUCCUACGGGAGAAAGCAGGGGAUCUUCGGACCUUGCGCUAAUAGAUGAGCCUAAGUCGGAUUAGCUAGUUGGUGGGGUAAAGGCCUACCAAGGCGACGAUCUGUAGCGGGUCUGAGAGGAUGAUCCGCCACACUGGGACUGAGACACGGCCCAGACUCCUACGGGAGGCAGCAGUGGGGAAUAUUGGACAAUGGGGGGAACCCUGAUCCAGCCAUGCCGCGUGUGUGAAGAAGGCCUUAUGGUUGUAAAGCACUUU
rnacentral:rRNA from 1 species